UACGUAGGGACCAAGCGUUGUUCGGAUUUACUGGGCGUAAAGGGCGCGUAGGCGGCGUGUUAAGUCACUUGUGAAAUCUCUGAGCUUAACUCAGAACGGUCAAGUGAUACUGAUGUGCUAGAGUGCAGAAGGGGCAACCGGAAUUCUUGGUGUAGCGGUGAAAUGCGUAGAUAUCUGGAGGAACACCGGUGGCGAAGGCGGCAUUCUGGACCGACAUUGACGCUGAGGAGCGAAAGCCAGGGGAGCAAACGGG
rnacentral:rRNA from 1 species